AGUGAACGCUGGCGGUAGGCCUAACACGUGCAAGUCGAACGGCAGCACAGUAAGAGCUUGCUCUUACGGGUGGCGAGUGGCGGACGGGUGAGGAAUACAUCGGAAUCUACUUUUUCGUGGGGGAUAACGUAGGGAAACUUACGCUAAUACCGCAUACGACCUACGGGUGAAAGCAGGGGAUCUUCGGACCUUGCGCGAUUGAAUGAGCCGAUGUCGGAUUAGCUAGUUGGCGGGGUAAAGGCCCACCAAGGCGACGAUCCGUAGCUGGUCUGAGAGGAUGAUCAGCCGCACUGGAACUGAGACACGGUCCAGACUCCUACGGGAGGCAGCAGUGGGGAAUAUUGGACAAUGGGCGCAAGCCUGAUCCAGCCAUACCGCGUGGGUGAAGAAGGCCUUCGGGUUGUAAAGCCCUUUUGUUGGGAAAGAAAAGCAGCAGGUUAAUACCCCGCUGUUCUGACGGUACCCAAAGAAUAAGCACCGGCUAACUUCGUG
rnacentral:rRNA from 1 species